rnacentral:rRNA from 1 species
UUUUGCACAAUGGCCGCAAGGCUGACGCAGCAACGCCGCGUGGGUGAUGAAGGCCUUCGGGUCGUAAAGCCCUGUCGGGUGGGAAGAAUGUGCCCGGGGUGAACAAUCCCGGGCAGUGACGGUACCACCAGAGGAAGCACCGGCUAACUCCGUGCCAGCAGCCGCGGUAAUACGGAGGGUGCGAGCGUUAUUCGGAAUUACUGGGCGUAAAGCGCGUGCAGGCGGCUCGAGAAGUCUGAUGUGAAAGCCCCGGGCUUAACCCGGGAAGUGCAUUGGAAACUCUCGGGCUUGAGUGCUGGAGAGGAAGGGAGAAUUCCCGGUGUAGAGGUGAAAUUCGUAGAGAUCGGGAGGAACACCAGUGGCGAAGGCGCCCUUCUGGACAGCAACUGACGCUGAGACGCGAAAGCGUGGGGAGCAAACAGG